GAUGAACGCUGGCGGCGUGCCUAAUACAUGCAAGUCGAGCGAACAGAUGAGGAGCUUGCUCCUCUGACGUUAGCGGCGGACGGGUGAGUCACACGUGGAUAACCUACCUAUAAGACUGGGAUAACUUCGGGAAACCGGAGCUAAUACCGGAUGAUAUAUUGAACCGCAUGGUUCAAUAGUGAGAUACGGCUUUGCUGGCACGUAUAGAUGGUUACGGGCGGUAUUAGCUAGUUGGUACGGUCACGGGUUACCAAGGCAACUAGGCGUAGACGACCGCAUGGGCGGAUAGCCGACACUGGAACUGAGACACGGACCAUGCGACUGAGGGAGGCAGCAGUAGGGUACGUUCGGCAAUGGGCGAAAGCCUUACGGAGCAACCCGGAGUGAGAUAUGAAGGCGUCGCGAGCGUAAUGCCCUGUUUUUAGGGAAGAACAGAUGUGUAAGUAGACAAAGCCGGCUUGACGGUACCUAAUCAGAAAGCACCGGCUAACUACGUG
rnacentral:rRNA from 1 species